rnacentral:rRNA from 1 species
CGGACGGGUGAGUAACACGUGGAUAACCUACCUAUAAGACUGGGAUAACUUCGGGAAACCGGAGCUAAUACCGGAUAAUAUUUUGAACCGCAUGGUUCAAAAGUGAAAUACGGUCUUGCUGUCACUUAUAGAUGGAUCCGCGCUGCAUUAGCUAGUUGGUAAGGUAACGGCUUACCAAGGCAACGAUGCGUAGCCGACCUGAGAGGGUGAUCGGCCACACUGGAACUGAGACACGGUCCAG